GGAGAGUGGAGGCGCUCAGUGAGUGUAGAGGUGGUGUUGAGGGAAAAGCUAUUAAGCUGAGUUCUGCUUUGUUUCCAAGAUCAAAUGGAUUCUCAUGAUGAUCGGAGUAAUUUUGGUUAUAUGUUGGAAGCUUUACAUAUACCUUGGGGAUCAAAGAGAAACACAGAUCAUUCAAAUCGGCAUGAUGAUUUGUUCUCUCAAAACUAGAUAAUCUUCUGUGACAAACUCUAUAUUCUGAGACUACUACAUCAGAUCUUUGUAGUCAUCAGGCAAAGUACUACUGCUCAAUUACAGAUUCUUAAGCCGGAGAAAUAGAUUAAUUACCCAAAAUUGGGUGUCCUGUUGCGGGAUAUUACCGCCAUCGACAUGCCAAUACUGCUGAAAUGUAGAUCUGCAGAAAAUUUUAAGAUGUUAUUUUGGUAAUCAUCGAAUUAGUGAUAUCUUAAGUUUGUAUUCAUAUCUGAACAUAGAAAGAUCAGUUCAGAUAAUUUUCUAUGUCCUUGGUGUUUGAUAAUAGUUAAAUUACAUUCA